ACAAAUCAGACGAUCGAUUUGCACGUCAGGAACCGCUUCGGACUUCCACCAGAGUUUCCUCUGGCUUCAUCCUGUUCGGGCAUAGUUCACCAUCUUUCGGGUCUCAAAGCGUACGCUCGACCUCCGCAACAGAACGAGUUCGAAUCACGGGGUGAUGUUGCACGAGGAACGUCGAAACGCUCUCCGCUCACAUCGCCGACACCAAGUGUCUCACUUUCAUUGCGCCUUUGAGUUUCGUAGGACUCAAUGACUCGCGUACACCUUAAACUCCUUGGUCCGUGUUUCAAGACG
rnacentral:rRNA from 1 species